rnacentral:rRNA from 1 species
UACGGAGGGUGCAAGCGUUAUCCGGAAUUAUUGGGCGUAAAGAGCUCGUAGGCGGCUUGUCGCGUCGACUGUGAAAACCCGUGGCUCAACCAUGUGGUCUGCAGUCGAUACGGGCAGGCUAGAAUUCGGUAGGGGAGACUGGAAUUCCUGGUGUAGCGGUGAAAUGCGCAGAUAUCAGGAGGAACACCGGUGGCGAAGGCGGGUCUCUGGGCCGAUAUUGACGCUGAGGAGCGAAAGCGUGGGGAGCGAACAGG